GAUUACCUUGAAGUUAAAAGAUUAAUUUUCCCAAGAUUUUACUUUCUUAGCAAUGCCGAGCUUCUUGAUAUUCUAGCUGAUAGCAGAAAUCCUGAGUCUGUACAGCCUCAUCUUGUGAAAUGCUUUGAAAAUAUAAAACAAUUAUUGAUAUGGAAACAAGACAUUGGCCCUCCUGCUGUAAAAAUGCUAAUAUCUGCUGAAGGGGAAGGUCUCGUGCUGCCAAAGUAUGAUAAAUGUUACAAACUGUUUAGAUUCUGUACAACGUCAUUAUUUAAAAUCUCUGCUUUGAAAUUUUUGAUAUAUUAUAAAAGUGCGCUAAGCAAACUGUUUCUUCAAAGAUUAUAUCCUUACGUAAAUAUACUUUUGCCUUUCCAUAUUCCCUACAAUACAUAAUCUCACCUUUGCUCUAAUUAAAAGUUGAGAAAGCA
rnacentral:lncRNA from 1 species